GCUUGGGCAUGCGGAGGGUUGUAACUCGUGAGGGAAGGCGCUGAAUCCUGAGGGUCAGAUCUCCAAGAAGGAGGGAGGCUGGUCCUAAUUCCGGAGGUCCUAGACUAGGUCUAGAUCACUGGGACUAAUCUGUCAUGGCGGCGCCCCACCUCUUCUUCCGGUCCCGACUCGUCAUGGCGACGCCCUGAGUAGCCACUUCCGCCCUCUUCUGGCUAGAUUUAUCCCUAUUUCCGGCUUGCCAUGGCAGCGCCCGGGGUUCAACGGAAGUAAGCGAUGGAAAGUACGGUGGUGCCUCCGCUCCAAAGAGAAUUCGCCGCUGAGCUGCGCCGCACCUCACGGGAUUGAGCCGCAGACACAAGCGCUCCAAAUCUCCGACUGGAGCUGGUGGGAAGCGGCUGCUGUUGCUGCGGCGUCUCAACAUGUUGUUCCCAGUUUGGUUGGGUGCUAUGGCGGUAGGCUGUUGGACUCAGGGAUAGGAGGCCUGAUUCCUAACGCCACGCUGCCACCAUCGGCCUGGCGCAGAAGCUGAUAGUCCUCCUGGCACCCUGGUUCAUGCGAGCGCUUGGAACAGAAGGGAAGAGGGAGUCAAACCAAGAGCCGAACUAAUUCGGCUUGGGCCUCGUAUUUACUCAGCCUGGGUGACCCAGGCGUUCCUCCAUCCCUUAGUGUAGGCCAGGACAGACAUGGUGUUUAAUCCCGACUCCGUGAGACUAUCAAGCCAGUUACUUCCUCUCUUUGUAAUUAAUUCCUCCUAGUGUAGUAACAUUUCCCCCUUCCUUCUCAUCUGUCUUAAAAGUGUGAGGUUAGACAUGGGCGUGAGUUUCCCCACUUAAAAGACUGGAUAUCCCCUGGUCAGAGAACUGAGCAUCAGUCCUGCCAUUUAGUUUGCAGAUCUUUCAAGACUCUAGUCAAAAUGAGCAGAACACUUUGCAGUUAAUCAUAGAGUUGAAGAUGAACGAGAAGAUGAACGAGAGCUACUUGACUGUGAACUAGUAACGACCACUUGGAGUCUCAGUGUGUCUGUAAAAUGAUGAUGAUGACAGUGACCUCAUAGAGGACACAGUGCAAGUGAACAGUUUGAUACUGAGCUUGGAGCCUCAGGUGUUCUGGAUAAGUGAGAGCUCUACGGGAGGCUGUAACCAUGAGCUACCCUGGUUGGCAGUUGACCUCCGAGGACCAGCACUGGUCAUCUGAAUCUGCCAUAGGCACAGAAAGCUUUACACCUUGAGAUCCCUCCAUUCUUUUUAAACUUCCAAGUGUAUGUUUGGUGGGAGAAGAGGGGAGGGGAUCAACAUUUAAAGGCUCUGGAAGGAGUCAGAUAACUGUUUUUGGCUUCAAAUGUAGACUGAAUCCCUAGAUUUUCCUCUACUGGGAGAACGAAAUCUUAACCCACCCCGUUCCCUUGUUAGUACUCAGAAACGAAUACCCCAAAGAUGCAUUUUGACAUGCUGAAAGGCCUUAGAAGCUACCUCAGAAGAGCUGUCUAACCUUUCUUGUUGGUGUGUGGGGGUGGGGAUGCCCACAGGUACACAGGGAGGGAGUUUCUGAAAUUUUCUUAUCUGACCACGAAAGCAAAAAAGAAGUUCAAUUGUCUUAAA